ACAGGGAACAGCACUGCCAUUGAAAGAGUCCACGCAGUCCGUGGAAGGAGUUAAUACUCAAUCUGAAGCUACACGGCAAGGCUUGAUGUCACACAUGUUCUUAAAACCACAUCACAGUAUAGAAGUACUCAUCUUCCUGAAGGUGGUGCCUCAGAAGAAGAUGAGUUCACUUAGUUACUUAUAGAGAGAAGUUCCAUGCCAAAAAAAUUUGUCAGUGGAGCCCAAAGAGCACUGAAACCACAGUGGCUGUGGUUUACCUUCAGAUUCAUACACCUAAAUUUGCGUAUCUAAACAGCUCCUUUAGGGGUUUUGCAGCAGUGAGAGGCCUUCAAGCGGAUGUUUGGAUAAUCCAAGUUUGUAUUUUACAUUUACAGGUAGAAGUUGUAUACACUAUCACUAUUACAGAAAAUGGAAACUAUUUGCUCAAGUCUCAUGUGUGUCAAGCUCUGUGGUUUAUACUAAAUGUAGACUUUAUAGCCUGUUAUGUACACUGUGUGUUUCCUGUGCUAGGGAUCCACAAGACAGAAAACCUGAAACCUGUGAAGUUCCCUUUUCUCAGACCUUGGUAUAGCAUCAUCAUCAGUGGUUUCCAUGACAGUGCAAGCUUCCAGCUCCGUAAUAUGUAGUUCAGCAAUGGUGUGACUCAGGUGGUGAUUCAGUAGGUGGCAAGCUUCCUUCUGUCAAUAUUGAAUUUAUGCCCUGCUAUCAGAGUGCACAGCACUGUUUAAAGUACUGUCUUUCCAAUGGGAUACAAGAGUAACAUGGGGACCGGUUACUAUUGUUCAAGAUCCCAUGGCAGUUAAUUUUUUGCAUGGGUGGAAAUAUUAACUCUUGAGCAUCAGCCAGGUUUCAGUUUGGAGAAGUACGUUCUGCUUAAGCUUUCCUUUCCUGUCCUUACGCUGGCUUGUAAUCUUACUCUUCCUGAUGGCUUCUUUCCACGACAUGAGGCUGAGUGCUCCAGUGUGGGAGAUGAUUUCUCUGGAUCCAGACAGCUGGGGAUAGUGCUGGUAUCCUGAGUUAAACAGUAAGAAAGCAUUUCAGGACUGAAGUUAAUCCUGAUUAUUAGAAGUGUUCACUCAACCUUAGUUCAGUCACCUAGAAAUGUUUGAGUCCUGGACUCUCACAUGAUAUCUGUUGGCAAAAGAGCAUGCAAACAACAGGACAAGACAAAUGCAGGCUUACCAUGCAGCUCCUUAUCACAGUACAGGCCACUUGCAAAUGUCAGAUAAUCCUAAAAAAGUUACCAUACUAAUAAGAGCUGUGUGCUUCAAGAAACACUUAAAAUCCAGUUUUCAUGAGUUUCUUCUGGUUAUGGAACUAGUAGAGAUGACACUAUCGUUCUGUAUUUUUGGUAAAAUACUAAAAGUUGAUUCUGAUAUUCACAAAAGCCCUCCAAACUCAGAUGUGUGCUAGUUAAGAAGUGAUGCUCAUGGCAGUGCUUAUGAGCAGUGAUUGAGCAGUGAAUGAGCAGUGCUUAUUCUGCAGCUGGCAUUCCCCCGUAGCAGAGCAGUUUGCUUCCACACUUUCAUGCCAAGAAUAUGUGGGUGUACUUGUCUCAGUGUAUAAACUCUUUCUUUGGCUCAUUUGUGCAGCUUCAUAGAUACUUUUUCUUCCCUGGUUGAUGCUUUCAUGUUUUGGUAUGAGUUAUCUCUCUACACAUGGACAUAACCUCUGCUGUCUUCUAUUGCUUGAGAAAGAACUGCAGGACUCACUCUGUGACUUGCAAAACUAUGUCUAGAAUAUAUAUAGAUGAUUCAUUAUUUACUUGUCAUAUGUGGCACCCAUGUAAGUAGUUAUCAGUCUGAUGAAAUAGCAAAGAUAUAAUUUGGUUUUGGGGAGCACAAGAAUAUAUGACAGAAUGUCAUAAUUUUCUAGAAAUCAGUCCCAGCAAAUUCAGCACUCUGGCUCUCUCAUUAGGCUGUACUAUUUAUAAUUUAUACACAUGAAGACAACUGUAUGACAAGGAAAUGAGAAUAUCAUCAAAUAGUUGCUUUAUCGUAUAACUGUGAUAAGCUAUGGCUACAUCCAGAAAAAGACACUGUAAAAUAAAGCUUGUUUACAAAGUCACUUUUUCUGUAAUGUGAUGUCAAAUGUCACUCAUUCUAUGAAAGAUUAUGUAUCUCAGAUAAUAUGACAUAUUGUGUGUGUUUUUAAGAUUGAAUCUGCUUCUUUAAUAUGUGGUGUAAUGCAACUAUUUAUAUUAGGGUGUCUUUCAUAAAACUCAUCAAGCCUGAAAAAGAUACAUCUAACCUUGCAUGUCUUCAGUGAAAAUAAAAUAAUUUUCCAUUUUAAAACUGAUCCCCAAAAGGAAUAUUAAGGAGUUACUUUUCUUUUCUUUUCUUUUUUUCGUUUUUUUUUUAAGACUUCGAGUAGCCAGCAGGAAGUGAGAAUUUGAAUUUAAAAAUCUAUCACUUCAACCUUAUCCAACUUUCAGAAACACUGACAGAGCAAAACAAAAGAAUGUCUCCAUCAAAUAAAACUUAUAAUAAUUUCUGGAAUGAUAUUUCAGAUGGAAGCUUUACUCCUAGGCAACUUUUUUGCCCCUCUUCCUAAUGCUUACGCCA
ensembl:lncRNA